AAUACUAGACCAGGAUGCCCAGGGUCCCAUCCAACCUGGCAAGAUGGGCCUUGCCCAUAAGUAGGAUGACGGCUCUUCAGCAGCAGCCGUAGGAAGAAACAUCAGGUCAUGUGGGAUGCGAAAUAUGAUUCUAUGAAUUCCAGGAGUUUCUGUGAAGGGAAUGCUGAAUGGGAACGGUGAUACCCCUGCCUCGCUGACUGCUAUAUUUAAAAUGAAACUCACAACUUCAAGAAGAUGGCAAAAUAGAAGCAAAGAGAAUGAAAACACUGGAAGUGGAAUGAGUUAGAAAUGGCUGAAAGAAUUUAGAUGAGGAAUUCCUCAUCUGAGAAAAUUAUCUCCAUGUAUUAACCACCUUCUCAGCCUGCCUUUAUUAAUUCCAGAAUCAGCUUAAAGUAUUGUUUCAUCAGAUAUGUAUACUUUCAUUGGUAUAAUUUCAGUAAUGGAGUAAAGAUGUGAUUUCUCCAGAUGCCACUCCUCAGAAUGCUCAAUGCACAAUCAUCUCUGAAAUGAAAACCUCUGCUCUGUGGUGAUCAUUGCUGUGCAAUGAGAGAAUACUGCAACGAACUCACCAGUGUCCAAACAAAGCAACUCACUCUACAACACUGUGUAAUCUAACAGAAAGUAACCUCAGCCAGAGAGCAGGCUGAGAAUGUUUUCACUUCUUUCUAUUACCAUCUUGACUGCAAGUGUGAGGAUAUAUAGGAUCUGAACUACAAAUAUAGUUUUGAACCUAUUCAGAAGCAGACUUGAAGCUCUGAAAUCUCUGAGCAUUUCCAAAAGAAUCCUCCCACGGCAUAAAGUGAGUAGUGUAUGUUGAGAAGCAGAUUCAAAUGCACAGCAUUUGUGGUGGACAGACGAUUCUGCAAUGUUACUUUACACCAGUAAUAAUUUCCUGCUUUGGAACAACACAUUACAUAUUCAGUGCUGCUUUUUUCUUUGACAAAGAUCCUGGUUGCAAUCAGUGGAGCUGCAGCGUGAUCUUCAGCUGCCCAUGCUGUAGCUACUGAGUUUUUUUCCUCCUAAAGAUGCCUUCAGUCACUUCUACCCAGAGCAGAGCGGAAUGAUUAAAAAGAACUUUGCUACUCUAUAAUCACAGUGACAAAAUGUACUCUUUCAUAAAUAUAAAGCAGAGAAAUGUUUAGAGGUCUGUAAAGCGUUUGAGAGAGAAGAAUCAGGAUCAGAAAAUUAUUCCACUUCUGGAACCAUGUCCCUAAUCACUGAGCAGCAGCCAGAGAAGCUGAUGGGAAAAUUUCCUGGCUGCUCUGCUCACUAAGGACAGCCUACAAGACCAAACACAGUCUGAAGAUUUUUCAUUUAUGCUUCUGAAAUCGUCUUUGUAUAAUACAAACAUAUUGUGAAAUGUUCAAGAUAUUUGACAGGCCAUUAUUCUGAGGAACAACCUAAAUUUCAACCUCCUCACACUUAAAUGUGGCUAUAUUACAAUGUGGCCCUGUACUGGUGCAGUUGUCUGAAUAAAUGUCAUCAGGAAGCUUUUGAAAAUAAUAUAGAGAGGCAUAGAAGACUAUUUUCUCAUAAAUUCAAUGCCAUCCCAGGAUCUUACAGUGAUGUUACUUGAGACUAAAGCCUAUUGAAAAUGUAAAGUGUGAGCAAGAGAGGCUUUUCCACUCAGCUUUACCUUCAAUGACAGACCAAUGUACACAUGAAGAACUGUAGCUGAAAGCUUUGACUUGAAUGAAAAAGUAGGUUUCAGGUACAACAGAGCUUUUAAUGUCAAUAUUUUAUUACUUGUCAGGACAACAUUAAUAAAACAAUGUUUUGGAAAACU
rnacentral:lncRNA from 7 species